UGCCCCGGUUUGGGGCUGUUAGUGGAGCAGGGGGGAGUUUUUGGGGGGUUUUGGGUCAGUGGUGGACGCGCAGAGCCGGAGGAGCAGGCAAGGCACGCAGCUCUUCCUCUGAGGGCCGAAAACCCUGAGGGGUUUUGCUUUAGGGCGUGAAGUAACCCUAACACAGCGGUAUCGCUUUUACUUCACAUUUACUUGAGUGAAGCUCAGGAGAAGCCAGAGGUGCAGUAAGAGCCUCCAAACUUAACCAGCCCAGGGAGCUGCUGCUGGGGAUAGCCCAAGGGGGAAGGGGGAGCUCGGAGGUCGGAGAGGGGCCUGGGGCUCGGCCUGCCGCCAGCAAGGCCUCGGCCACCCCAGCGAUCACCAUCCUCGGGAGCAAAGCUGCUACCAAAAUGGGAGAUUUCUCUUGGGAAAGGUGCUUCAGCCCACCAAAAUGCCCGUCAUUGUUACAGCAGUGUCGUUUUGUGUGAGCCUGUCAGAUGCAGAACAGGUGAAUGAAACCCCCUGAGACCUUUAAAGAGCAUUACCAGCUUUAUUCUACAGAAACUGAGAAGCAGAAAUGUAGCAUUUUGCUCCAGACCAUGGACAGGACUCACUGCUAAAGCUGAGGAGGAAGAACCAAAAAAGAUGAGAAGUCUCUGCAUUGAUAGAGUCCUAUCACACAGCCCUGUAGAGCAGCGCUGCUUCUUCCAGUCAAGAGGCAAGGAGACACCCCCCAGCUUUCUUCCUGCUAUCCAAGUUCCUAGCAAAAAGAUCGGAACAAUAAUGUGAGGCAUGGGAGACUGAUACUCAGGUGCAUACGAUGCUUAGGCUGGCUUUGGAUCCCACCUACACAUCCUGGUGCUACUGACUCAUCCUCCAGUUCAGAACGAUGGGUGGAGCAGAGACAGCCCUCCGUGAUUUCUGUUUUGGUGUUCACCUAUGAGUAGCUUUGACUUUCCUGUUCACCACGGGUGUGAAGUUCACACUCACAAUUAGCCCUGUUCUUUCUCAAGCUUGGUGCUGAGAGCUUUUCCAGCAGAAACCAGCCCUUCUUCCACAGGAAUCAGCUGGUAACAAGGGAAGUCAUUGGGGGCUGAUGUCUGAGAGCUGUCCUGGCACCAGAUCCGGAGGUAAAAUCGCUGGUGAUAGAAUGAGUGGGUGGCCCAGAGAAGAGAAGAGAGGCCACCGAGGAUGAAGUGCAGGACUGUCAUUCAGUGCAGCACUGUAAAUAUGCUAUAUACAUCUGCAAAGUGCAUUUCUAAUGCACUAAGUGCAAAUUUACAGAUUCAUGUAAGUAAAGUGAAGGUCAGCAGUCUGAUUGGGCUCCCCACUGGGUGCAGGCUCGCCAUGGUGCUAGCACCGGUAUGGGCGUCCUUGCACCUUGGCCACUCCUGCACCCCUGAGUCAGGGCAGCUCUUUGACAAGUUUCAUGUGACUGUCAGCACCACUCAGCCACUCCCAUGAAAACUUUUGUUCUAGAUAGGCAAAUUUCCUAUUUUAAAAUAUUUUCUCGUAAUUGUUCUCUUCUGUGACCGAACACGCAGAGAUCAUACCACCCUAGGGCAAGGGGAGGGGGAUUUCUACCAGUUAGCUGCAACGUUUUUCUCCUUUCCCAGGCACAGCAACGUACCCUAUUUUUUGCAAAAAAAGAUGUGUCUGAAUCGUUGGUGCCUCUACUGCUCAAAGUGCUCUCUGGUUUUGUAGCAGCGACAGCAGCCACCAGAAGAGGUGGUGCACAAUGACCUGUGUUUGUCUUUCACUGAACUGACUGUGGUUGUUUGGUAAAGGACAUUACUCUUGCUUUGGUGAGGAGCUGGUUUUGACUGCAUAUGAAGGGAGUAAGAGUGGCAGCAUGGGAACAAGUAUUUGUCUCCCAAAGUCCGUGAAAACUUACUAAGAUACGAAGUGAAAUCUGUAAGGGUGCUUUGAGGAUGCCAGUGAGCUCUAUAUGAUAAACAGUAUAUUAAAAAGCACUGAAGCAUGCUAUGAUAAACAGUCUCCUUCUUUGCAGUUGUAAUAUAUACAAUGAGCAAGAGAUAUCAUCCUGUAUUCAAUCAAAAUCAGGACUGGAGUCUUUGUUCCUUCCAGACAUCAGCCAUGAAAUGUGAUUUCUUUUUUAAUCUGAUCAGCGCCUCUGGCAUUUAAGAUUGGCUGUGGAGCUGCUAACAUAAUGAACUGCUUUAUUUUCCCCCUGCUAAAUGGUAUUUAGAAAAAAAUAAAAAAAGCCUUAGAAAUGAGACUCAGACAAAGCUAGACUGGGUCACUUAAAAACACAAAGGGUAUUUCUUUGCAGGUGCAAACCGAUUUAUACCAGUUGUGCAUGUGGGCCUUCACCUGGCUGUAGCAUCUUUCCCUGCAGUUUUACAAACCUCCCUUGUAGCUCUGGCUCUGGGAUUCUGCCCUUGCAGGUUCGUCUCUGGCAGGGAGACUAACCAUGCACCUAUGUGACCUAGUGCAGAUACUGCUCAAUCCUGAGAUAUCUGUGAGAAAAAAAUAGUACGUGAAUGCUUUCUUUGGAGAUUACAUAGUUAGGGAGCAGUGAUGAGUUGCAGAGCAAUCAGACCUCCUUAUUAAUUAUAAUGUGUUUGAGUGCCUGAGGCUGAAAGCUGCAUUGCAGUUGUGGUAGACAUAUCUUUCCUAAUAAAUAGCUUCCAAAGACAGGAGAAAGGACAAGCAAAGAAAGGAACAAAGAAACUCUAGGCUAACUGGUUCAGCCUUUAAUGUGACUGAAGCUGAUGCAGUGGCAAAGUACGGCGUGUCCAUCUUCAUGCUGCACUUUAUUGGGAUGAAGGAGGACGAAACGGUGCAUCCAAGAUGCUGAUGUUACUCACAAGUGAUGAGUCUGUACCUCUGCAGAUCUUGAAGCAGAUCUUCCAGGCCAUACAUUCAUAAUCAUUCCUUUUUGUAACGUCAGUUUACAGUGAAGCUGAGACAUCCACACCGCCCAUGUCAGCUGUGCACUUGAGCAACAACAGUGUGAAAGCAGACAAAGCGACUGCUCCUGCUUUACAAGAUGGUUUUACAUUUUUGUGUUAAAAGGGUGGAGGAUAUUGUUUCCCAUUUCUUCAGAAUUUCAUAGAGAAGCAGCCAAGUGUAAUUAAAUGCCAUGUCCGUGGUGAUACAAGCCAGCUGGGCCAGACAGUGCCUUCAAGUAAGAGGAAGAGCUCUGCACUGGAAGGACUGAAAACUUGCAGUGAGGUAUGCGUGCGCAAGUGUUGCAUUCACACACGUGAUAUCUAUUUCAGAGACAACCAUAAUUUUUUCGGACUCUUCCCAUUUAUUCCCUGCUGUCAGGAGUGAAUUAGCUGUGCUCUCCCUCCUUCUCUGCUGGUCACAGUCCCUGAGGGAUGCAGGUGAGCUGUCCCAAACUUGCUAUCACCAUCCUGUCCCUGGGCGUUCAGCCUCUGACCAGUGUGUGCUCACCCCACAGGGCUGCCUGCCCCCGCUGGAAGCAACCCCAGCAUUUUGUUUGGGGCCCGGGGCUGUAUCGGUGCUCGUGCACUGCAGGAGGGGUUUUGCACUUGAGUGCCCACUGUCUCUUCACGCUUUCCUUCAAACUUAACAGCCCACACGAGACUUGUAAUAAUAACCGGGAUGCGCUGCCUUAUUGCUUGAAUACCCUCGUGGAUAUACUCAACCUGAUCUACAGUUCAAAUAAAUUCAAUAAGACAGAGGAGGGUUUAAAGACAUUUUAAAUAAAUUAACUUCUGGAUGGAUGUUUAUUAAGUUUUAUGAAGCCAUUUACUAAAAUGCAAUGUUUGUUUCAAAAGGCAUCUUAAAUUUUCCUCUUGUGAGCUAUGGAAAUUACUUUUAUAAUUGAAAUGAGAAA